GGAAUAUUGCACAAUGGGCGCAAGCCUGAUGCAGCCAUGCCGCGUGUAUGAAGAAGGCCUUCGGGUUGUAAAGUACUUUCAGCGGGGAGGAAGGUGUUGUGGUUAAUAACCACAGCAAUUGACGUUACCCGCAGAAGAAGCACCGGCUAACUCCGUGCCAGCAGCCGCGGUAAUACGGAGGGUGCAAGCGUUAAUCGGAAUUACUGGGCGUAAAGCGCACGCAGGCGGUCUGUCAAGUCGGAUGUGAAAUCCCCGGGCUCAACCUGGGAACUGCAUUCGAAACUGGCAGGCUAGAGUCUUGUAGAGGGGGGUAGAAUUCCAGGUGUAGCGGUGAAAUGCGUAGAGAUCUGGAGGAAUACCGGUGGCGAAGGCGGCCCCCUGGACAAAGACUGACGCUCAGGUGCGAAAGCGUGGGGAGCAAACAGGA
rnacentral:misc_RNA from 1 species